UACGGAGGGUGCGAGCGUUAUCCGGAAUUACUGGGCGUAAAGGGCGCGUAGGCGGCCAUCUAAGUCAGACGUGAAAUCCCCCGGCUUAACCUGGGAACUGCGUCUGAUACUGGACGGCUUGAGUAUGGGAGAGGGAUGUAGAAUUCCAGGUGUAGCGGUGAAAUGCGUAGAUAUCUGGAGGAAUACCGGUGGCGAAGGCGGGUCUCUGGGCAUUUCCUGACGCUGAGGCGCGAAAGCGUGGGGAGCAAACGGG
rnacentral:rRNA from 1 species